ACAUUAGAAAAUAACAAAGUAAAAUCAAAAUACGCACUGUCCCGUGUAUCACAGUUCGGACACCCCUGUUGAACACUUUGCUGAAAUCCUGUCCAGCUAGCCACAGAAACAUAAUCGCCUCGCCACAGUAUGACUGAUAUAUGCAACACACACAAACUCACACGGAUGCGCGUUCAUCGAGAGUAACGAAACGCAACACCAUUUAUCGCUGAAACGACACCGAUACAAGCACACAUUCGUGUGAAGUAAUGUUUGGCUGUUGUACAUCACCACCGCUGCUCGCCAAACCAACACGAGAGACGGAAGUGAGAGAACGUGUGGCCAGAGAACUCUCACGCCUACCUGCACUCAGCAAUUCAAGUGAGUCUCCGCUCCGACGACUAGAAGCAGGCGUCGCCGAUCGCAGGUCGGCACGGACGUCAGAGCAGCGAGAGAAACAGUUCGCACUAGGCCCCGCGACAAAUCGUACGUCCAUUUGAUUUGCACGAAAUUUGCAGAAAAUUGCAACCGUACAUUUUGGCCUACUAGCGUGAGGUGGCAAAAGUCGUGAAAACGAAAGAAAAGCCGGAAGUGGUACUUGAGGUGCCCUGUGCAUGAUUGUUAAGUCGCAUAAUUCCUUGCAAGGAAUUCGAAGCAUAAUCGGGUCAUCUUGUGUGACGAAUCUACGAGCGCGUGGUCUGGAAUAGGAGCCGUUUAGAGGGCACUGAUUUGGAAACUAAAACCCGGACCAUCAGGGAAAUAGUUGUCUGACAGGCCUCUCCACACUCCGGCACCGAAUAAAACUCCGAUACGUGACGGCAGCGGUUGCUUCAGUUGCAGGCCACUGCGUAGGUCCCAAUUCAGCCAAGGCAGGGAGCACGUCGGCGCUUGAGACCCCGUCAACCAGUGGAUACCCGCAAGCGCACCAGACGCGAAAAGGCAGUGGAGCUUGGAUUAGCAUCGCCCGCAGGAAGAGAAGCCCCAUCAAGGGGCUUCUUUCGCAGGUUUGAUUUUCGUGUCGGGAGCCCAGCGGUGAAACGGGGCGAGUGGUGACGGAACGACGGCAGUAGGCCACGACCUUUGGACGAUUUCGAGAUUCUGUCGGCGAGUGAACCUAGCGCGAGACGGAAGGAGAAUAGCAGGGCUAGCUGGCUGUGCGAACGAUCGGCAUCGAAGGCUCCGCUCGAGCGGCAACGCGUGACAGGCAAGGCGCGCGCUGAGGAGAGCGCGGCCAGGCCGCUCGGUCAGGCAGGGCUGGCACGGCCCUGAGAAGCCACUAUGAUGCAGCAAAUCGUGAGUCAGUGCACCUAAAUAAGAUUAGAAUCUCACAGAGUAGGAGAAGUAGGAGCCCAGAGCAGGGAAAAAUGAAAAGCGUUAUGAAUAUAAUGUGUUGAAUCAUGAGACUGUUGUUUUUUAUUUGGUUGUGCCUUUAGCCCUCAGUGUUUGUGAGUAAUCCACUUGGGUAG